GUGUUGAAGCACAUCGGUAGUGAAAAUCAAAACAGCACCACCGUAGAGACUGGUGACUAUAGACUGUCCAGGAAAGAUGCAUACAUUAGAGAUGUGCAUUUUAUCCAGUACUGACACAAAGGUUAAUAAAGGAUGAUAUACUCGGAUGAAAUAAUUUAGAGAAAAAAAAUAUCCUUGAAGUGUGAUGGCAGAUAAUAGAAGCAUACGAACAUGAAAGGUAAGGAUAAAUGCCUAAAUAUCUCCCAACUCUUCACUAUUGAUUUGUUUUCUCUGCACUGUUAAUUUUUGGUUCCAUUCUCUCUUGUAUUGUCAGGAGCAGAGGAAAUAAUUGUAUCUUCUAGAAUCUAGACUGAGUAUCAAUGAUAGAACGUUACAAAAGUGGGUUGAUAGAUGUCUGUCUCACUCUUGGCACACAAGAAAAAUGAUGGACGGAGUGCUGACACCAGAGAAAAUGUAUUCACCUGAUUAUGGUGAGGCUUAAUUCUAGAGUGGUGUGACCACCUCCUUGGAAUCUCCAGGAGAUUAUACACAAACAAUGAGUAAUGUCACAGGCUUAUGAGAUCACAGAUUGAUCACUGUUUCAGAGAAGUUUGGAGUUUCAGGAAUUUGUUAGACAUUGCUGCAAACUGUUGGUAAAG